GCUAAUAACCGGAUAACAACAGAUGAUGCCUAUCAACUGUUUAAAAAGAAUGGUUCUGCUAUCACUCUUGGAUGGACCUGCGGUGCAUUAGCUAGUUGGUAGGGUAACGGCCUACCAAGGCGAUGAUGCAUAGCCGAGUUGAGAGACUGAUCGGCCACAUUGGGACUGAGACACGGCCCAAACUCCUACGGGAGGCAGCAGCG
rnacentral:rRNA from 1 species